rnacentral:tRNA from 1 species
UAGCCUAGUGGUUAAGGCUACGGAUCGCCAAUCCGGAGACAGCGGGUUCGAAUCCCGU